GGCUGCUCAUUUAUUGACCAGCCCAGUGUAUGGCCGGCAAGUUUCUCCUCAGACUCGGUUUCCACCCCCUAUCUGGUAAAAUAUAGAGGAUUUUUAUAACUAUGGACACCUCUUCUAGACUAAACCACAUGUAGAGAACCAUUGCACAAACUGGGUGGAAGCAGGAAAGGGGCUGUCUGAGGAGAGGGGGGCUGUGAGGCUUUAUAUCUCAGCUCUGUUAGUCAUUUAUCAUCCCUCAUCAUCAUCGUGUUUGAGACAUGGUCUCAGUCCAGUCCAGACAGACCUCCAUUUGACUACUCUCAUGAAUGCCUAAGGCCCAGCAUACACCACCACCUUCCAGGCUCUCGUUCUGUAAGAGAUAAAGAAUGACGUGUGGUGAGACACGCCUGCCAUCCCUCACCGGAUAGAUGGAGGCUAGAGGCUCACAGGCAAAGGUCAUCUGUGGUUGCAGAUGUCUGGCUCAGCAGGAUUCUCUCAGAUGUUCUCAAAGGUUCUUCAGACUAGGAAGAAGAUAAAGCUGAAACCAGAAGAAAGAGUUGCUAAUAGCCCAUGGAUGGACCAAUCCUUUAACCCCAGAGGCUUCUGGGAGUGGAGAGCUGGGCAAAAUAAAGCAAAUAAUAAAAUACAGGAGGGCCCCUGGCCCAGGGCGGUGGAGGUGAUGGGAGUUGGAGUCACUUGCCUGUCAGGACCUAUAUCAACAUGUCAGCCACUUGGACAAACAAGCGUUGCGAGGGGAAAUAUUUCAGAUAAACAGACACGAUGUUAUGACAUAUCACCCCCCCGCCCCCAACCCUGGAAAAGGGGGUCGGUCAGAGACCAAGGAGAAGAAGAAAGGAAGCAACGCCAUGCGGAGAUCUGUUUUCCCUGGCUUGAGGCCCCGGAGGGUCAGCUGUAAAUAAAAUAGGUUUUUCAUU
rnacentral:lncRNA from 1 species